rnacentral:lncRNA from 1 species
UGUUUCUUUCCAUGUAGCAGAGAGUAGAAGCCCUCCCUAUGAGAGCUUUAAAUGAGUGUUUAAGUAUUGCGGAGAUUGAUGCUGUCAAGACAGGAAUGCAAGCAGACCAUAGCAUAUAAUUACAGCUAAUUAAAUGUUAAAGCAGCAAUAAGUAGAACUAGGAGCACAAUCCAAUAGUGAGUUGUCUUUAAUCUUUACAUCUAAAGCCACUUUAGUUUAGCUUGGUAAUUUAUGACUAGAAGAUGGAAGUAAAUGAUAGGCAAUAGAUCGGUCUCUAAUUGUCCCCAUAUCGGCUAUCCAAGUAUUUAAUUUUUUUUAAGUGUUUGAGCAGGUUACGUGGGUCACAUGGGGCAUCAUUCUAAUCCAAUAAACUGUUUUUAUAGUGGGGAACCUUUUUUCAGCCCGGGGGCAGCGUUCCUUCUUGACAUUAGGGGGAGGUGCAUGCCAGUCGUGGGCAGGCCUAGAAGCCAAAUGUGAUUGAGGCAAAGGAUGUGAUGGAUUUUUGACCAGUAGGCUGAAUUCUAGCCACGCAAAAGCCACAGGUUUCUCUAUCCCCCAACACACAUUUAUUUAUUUAAUAAAAGUUAACAUUCUGAAACAUAAAAACUACCUCAGCUUGGUAGGCUUGUCUAAACAAGCAUGUUUUUAACAUCGUGCAGUGAAGGUGCCUGCUUCCUCUCAAUUAGGCAGGGAGUUCCGCUGCCACACGAAGCGACCAAGUUCUUACAAAUGUGGAACGGAUAUUAUGUGGCUCGCAGAUCAACAACCAUUGCAGAUCUCUGAGCACAGGUGUUGCAGUAGUGUAGCUAGGAGAGGCGAGGGUGGGGUGCUCUCGGCAGCACUUAUCUUUGGGGGUGGCACACUAGAGCCCAAGGUGGCGUGCAAACCCCAAGCACCCCAGAGCCCAGUGCACCACUCCCAAAAGCAGCAUGGCUCACAGUGGCCAGAGGGUGGCCAGCAAGGAUGCAAGCAGCAUGCGCUGACUCUGUGAGCGGAGCUGGGCCUGUGUCAUGCCCGAGCUACCACGUUUCUCCCGGGUGUCCUCUCCCCCCCCUUUUUUUGCAGCCAUUUAUCUUAUGCUUAAGAGAAGCUUCCCAUUCUUUCAGAAUUCUUAAAUGAGACCUUCACUGAGGUUCUGCACUAUGUAAAUUAGAUUAUAAUUGAUUAAUCAAUUCAGUUGUUAAAAGCAGGAGCGCUAAUCAACUCCAUCAUCUUUAAUCAGAUCCUAAAAACAAAAAUGACCUUAAAAUGAUACCCAAUUUUCUUCAAAUAGUACAUUCUGUUUUGUUCCCAAACCAUAUUUCAGAAUGAUCAUCUUAUGUUGCGUUCUAGCCAUAUCCACUCUAAAAACAUUGUUCAUUCCUGGUUAGACAAGCAUACCCAGAUGCUUAGAAAAUUAAAGUAAUUUUAAUCUGUUUUAGUGCAGAGAGAUAUACUGUAGUCCAGCAACAGCUGGGGAGUAACACGUUCCUCAUCCCUGCUGCAUUGUUUUUCUUGUUUACCAGUAAAGAUUUGGAAUCAACCAAACAUUUAUUAGAUUUUUUUAAGCUCAGGAAGUUUGGUGAGUCAUUUGGAUGAGACUGUUAGACACCAAGGUCAUUGUGGUUGCUCAUGUAUGGAAGGAUUCAUAUAAUGACUUUAGGACAAACAGGCAGUCUGUGUAUUCCAUAGUUUACAGAAAUAAAUGUUUCAAGUUGAUAUGUUAGGUAACGUGUGCCAUAGAAAUCCAAGGGAAUUCUGGAAGAAGAGCUUAGCCGUCUGAUGGUUUCUUAAUAAGGGGGGGGGGGACCUUUUGUUUAAUUCUUUCAUCUCACUCGCUAAGUCGGUAUUUAUAAACUCAGAUAUUGUAAGCAAAGUGAUACCAGGCUGAACUAUGAAGUGACAUGUUUGCAUGGCUUUGAUGGCAGCUCUUACCAAUCUCUGUAGACCUAAUUAAAGGCGUAUAAUGAUGACUCCCCUUCCCCAAGCCAUGGCAUGAGUGGAAAAUGUACUUUCAGAAGAAUAUACCAGCCCAACAGAUUGGAGGAGAUAUCAUAUUCAUGUGGAUAUGGAGAACAUAAUGAUACCCUUAUUGGUGUUUGCAUUAUUACAGUAAUAUAAAAAUGACAUCCGUUAAAACAAGUAAUAUUCUAUGUGUCCACACUGCUGAAUUAUCUAAAUCAGAAAAUGGAGGUGGAAAGAGACCACCAACACCCGGUGCUUACAUCAGUCCUGCCCUAUGAGUUUGGCCUUUGCCUUUUGUUCAUGCCCAGAAGAGAUAUACAACAUGGUAAUCGCUUGAUUUGCUUGUGAUCACCUAUUUGGUUAGUAAGUCCUUUUGAAUCCUUUGUGGCUUCAUUUUGGAUAAGCAUGGCUAGGACUGGGUUUCCUGUAUCCUAAGAUAAUGCCAGGAUAAUACAGGGAAUAAAUGGAUUCACUUUCAGCUCUUUUUAUACCUCUGAAGUUUUUAUCACAGCAGCUUAAAAUAGCUUUCAGGUUAUCCUUAAAUGCACAAAAUGUGCUUCUUUUGCUUUUGUGUGUGCAAAAUGCAAAGGAGCGAAAUGAAAGGUAAUCAAAAUGGCACAUGGUGUUUAAUGCUUUCCUAGGACUAGUUUAAGCCCCACUGAGAACAGUGGGACUUCUGUAGGUUUAGGGUGAUAUAAAAGUAGAAUACUGUACAAAAUAUAAUGCAAAUCUAGAAAUAAAGCAACAGCAAACCAAAUUACAUCCAGAAAUGAGCACUUUCAAUUCCCAUAUUCAUAAUUCUCCCAUUGAUCCCAAUGCAAGUAUACAAGGACAUUCCUUUGGCUGGAUCAUGGCCAUUAAUAAUACCAAAUUGCUUUUUACAUGCAGGUUUUAUCAACAGUCAUAAUUUUAUUUUCUAUAACAUGUCUUGAACCACAGCAUGAAAAUGAACUGUAAGCAUUAAAUCAAUUUCGUGUCAGAUUAAACCCGGGAUUUAGAAAAAUAUGCUAUAUUUAUUUUCAGUAAGAGCCUGACCUCUCCAAGGGUAAAAAGCACAUUAUGAACACAGUGCAGAAUAGGACCUGAGGACAUAAACCAUCCAAAGUGCAGUUUUUACCUGAAGGUCAGUGAGGUUUACUUCUGAAUAAACAUGCCUAGGCUCGCCUACACAAAUUCCACUUAUUUCAAUGAAAGAGAUUUACAGGGCAAUUAUAGGCAAGCGUACACUGUAAUGCCUAAUAAAGGUUUGGUGAAGUAAGCAAGCAAGGCAUGUGUACAGCAGUCAGAAAUAAAAUCUACUAAGCUCAAUAGGUUUUACUCUCAGGUAUAGGUGGGACGUGGGUGGUGCUGUGGGUUAAACUACUGUGCCCCUUGGGCUUGCCGAUCAGAAGGUUGGAGGUUCGAAUCCCCGCAACGGGGUGAGCUCCCGUUGCUCGGUCCCUGCUCCUACCAACCUAGCAUUUCGAAAGCACAAAGUGCAAGUAGAUAAAUAGGUACUGCUCCGGCGGGAAGGUAAACAGCGUUUCCGUGUGCUGCUCUGGUUCACCAGAAGCGGCUUAGUCCUGCUGGCCACAUGACCCGGCAGCUGUACGCUGGCUCCCUCGGCCAGUAAAGUGAGAUGAGCGCCACAACCCCAGAGUCAUUUGCAACUGGACUUAACUGCCAGGGGUCCCUUUACUUUUACCUGGUUUGCCAGAAGCAGCUUAGUCAUGCUGGCCACAUGACCCGGAAGCUGUACGCCGGCUCCCUCAGCCAAUAAAGCGAGAUGAGCGCCGCAACCCCAGAGUCGGCCAUGACUGGACCUAAUGGUCAAGGGUCCCUUUACCUUUACCUUAUAGGUGGGUUAUAGGAUUGCUGCCCUUAGCAUAUGCUUAAUUCUCAGUUGAAAUGAGUGGGACAAAACUGAUUAACUGCAACUGGAAUUCUCACCAAGUCUUUGAACAAGUAGAUUUAUAUUACAAAUGCUAUUGCUAUGGCCAUUACCUUAAACUGAAGACAGGUGUCUAGUAGCUCCUAAGCUAGAACUGGCUUCCAGUUUUAUGUUUAUUCAUUUAGUGGCUUUAUAUACCACUGUUUGACUGGCAGCUCACAACAUUUAUAAAUGCAAUGGGUACAUGAAGAACAACCACAACUGAAGCCAGCCCAGCAGCAAGUGUCUGGUGCCAUCUUCUGCCUCCCACUCUGUUGUGUUCGUUCCCACUUAGCUUAUCUGACCUCUGGGUUUCCUACCAAUUUUAAAUCGAGGUGCGUUAAACAUUUGGUUUGAAAGGGAAGGCUUUUCAAAAGUUUUGUGAGAGAUGGAAGGAAAGUUCACGCAACAUUAGAAGAGUAGAAUAGAGCCUCCCCUCACCAUCCCAAAGAGAGAAACUUUUAAUUCAGCAGUCCUGCUUACUUUGCCCAACCAAUUGUCUCUGCAUCUGAUAAAUGUUCCCUAAAAAGGUAUCCAGUAGGCAGUCCUGAUGUAAAUAUAGCUUCAGUUGGUGGAGGUGUUUCAGGAAUUUAUUCCAGUUUGUAGCUGCCUGCCCCCAGAAGCCUCAGAGUGGGUAACAGUACAGUCAUACCUCAUGUUACGUUUGCUUCAUGUUACGUUCUUUCAGGAUAUGUCCCGCGGUGACCCGGAAGUACCGGAAAGGGUUACUUCUGGGUUUUGCCACUUGUGCAUGCGCAGAUGUGCAAAAUGACAUCAUGCGCAUGUGCAGAAGCGGCGAAUCGCAACCCGCGCGUGCGCAGAUGCGCCACUGUGGGUUGCACUCUUUUCAUGUUGUGAAUGGGCCUCUGGAAAGAAUCCCAUUCGCAACCAGAGGUACCACUGUAUUAAAAAUUCAAUUACUGUAAAAACAAACCAUAAUAACUUGAAUUAUAGAAUCUAUGUUAAAAAAAAUGUUAAAAUGUUGCUUGCUUUUGUUAUUCCUAGCCAGUGAUUUCUCUCUGCCCUACCCCCUGCAUAGAACAGAGAGGUCUUGUAGUGCUUUUCAGGAAAUUCCUGUCAGCUUGGAUGAGGAAGUCUAUUCCAGAACCAGGAAGAUGCCAUCAAAAUAUGCUGAUGCCACUUUAACAAUGAACAGUAAAAGAGAUAUCAAUAAACUUGGUUUCCCUCAUCUUUCACUAGAACUAACUGCCAGAGUAAAUCCC